rnacentral:tRNA from 5 species
UACAAAGUAGCGCAAUGGGUAGCGCACAUGAUUUGUAAUCGUGAAGUUGUAGGUUCGAAUCCUAUCUUUGAAAACA